AGCCCCUCUGAUGUAGAAUAUGUGACUCUCUUUUUAACCGACUUCAAAAAAGGAGGAGGUUACUCAAUUCGACCGUAUAUAUUUUGGUACUCUCGUGUAGUUAGUAAUAAGGCGAGAAAGGUUACAGUCGGCUCCAGUGUCCAGGGCACAUAAUAAAGUUUAUUUCAAAUUAACAUUAGAUAUAUUAUGUGUCAGUAACAAUAUUUACGUAUUAACUAUGGAACUUAUCUUUAGUAACAUUAU